CACGUAGGCGCGAGCGUUGUCCGGAAUUAUUGGGCGUAAAGAGCUCGUGGAGCGGUUCUGUCGCGAUCGAUCGUGAAAACCUUGGGGCUUGAACCCUGAAGCUUGCGGUCGAUACGGGCAGUGACUGGAGUUCGGGCAGGGGAGACUGGAAUUCUGGUGUAGCGGUGAAAAUGCGCAGAUAUCAGGAGGAACACCGGUGGCGAAGGCGGGUCUCUGGGCCGAUACUGACGUGGAGGAGCGGAAAGCGUGGGGGAGCGAACAGG
rnacentral:rRNA from 1 species